CCUCGGCUUUCAAGACAGCUGAAGGAUGUUCGUGGGAAGAGGCCUGUGGGAUGAUAAAAAGUCGACAUUUGAUCUUUGUCCCCAGGCACUGGCCCCUGGGGCGGGUGAGGCUCUUUGGCUUGCUGCUGAGACGCCUGGGGGCUGCUCCCAGAGAGACCAGUGGAGGAGCAAAGUGAUGGGGAUUGACGCCCAGCCUCCGGUGAUGCGAUCAAUCGCGCUUCUAGAAUGCAGAAAAGCCCAUGGGUCGGGCUCCAGAGAAAAUACACACAAAGAAGAGAAGUGAAUUUGAAUCUCACCAGGCAGCUUUCGGGCUCCGGCUGCCUGGGCCAUGGCCAGUGGGAGCCUGUCCUGGACGCGUCCUUCCUUGUUGUCCGGGACUCCGGUGUUGAGAUCCUCCGCCCGUCCCCUCUGUCCUGGUGCCUCUGGCAGACGCGGAUUUGAGAAAGUACACGCUUCCGUGUGCCUACGUCUACCACCGCUCCCACCAGAGCCAUGAGUUCGCUGAUGCCUCGGCUCCACCGCGUCCACAGGCUCGUUUGGGUUUUCCGUGUCGGAGCCUGUGGCUCCUGUCUCCACAGCGCGGAUCCCCCCUGUGCUGCUCAGAGCCCUGCUGCCACAAUGCCGGUGUGACUGCCAGUCCGGGGGCGGGGGCGGGGGCACCUCGG